UACUGUAACAUUAAAGGCAACCACAACUAAAGAGAAAUCCUUUAGAGGUUCUUUUGAGAUUCUUCAGUUUUCAUCGGUUUGGGGAGUUGUGAUACUCUGUGUGCUUGUGGCUUCAGGUUUAUUGACUGGUUUCUGUCUCCUUACCUUCCCCAGGACAGACGGAGGAGGAAGAUUUAAAGGUGAGCCUUCAUCAGCUUUUCUAACAACUAAGUCACUUGUCUGGUUGCCAGAUCCUCAUAAUAUACCUAUACUAAUUUUGUCGCAGACUUGUUGACAGAAACACAUUCACAUGGAUCUACUGCAGUUUUGUACAAUCUCAGUGUUGAC